CCUACGGGGAGCAGCAGUGAGGAAUAUUGGUCAAUGGUCGGGAGACUGAACCAGCCAAGCCGCGUGAGGGAUGAAGGUACAGAGUAUCGUAAACCUCUUUUGUCAGGGAACAAAGGCGGGGACGUGUCCCCGGAUGAGUGUACCUGAAGAAAAAGCAUCGGCUAACUCCGUGCCAGCAGCCGCGGUAAUACGGAGGCUGCGAGCGUUAUCCGGAUUUAUUGGGGUUAAAGGGUGCGCAGGCGGUCUGUUAAGUCAGCGGUCAAAGCCCGGGGCUCAACCCCGGCCCGCCGUUGAAACUGGCAGUCUCGAGUUGGAGAGAAGUAUGCGGAAUGCGCGGUGUAGCGGUGAAAUUCAUAGAUAUCACGCAGAACCCCGAUUGCGAAGGCAGCGUACCGGCCGGUCACUGACGCUGAGGCACGAAAGCGCGGGUAUCGAACAGGAUUAGAUACCCUUGUAGUC
rnacentral:rRNA from 1 species